rnacentral:lncRNA from 1 species
GGAAGAUGGAAAAGGAGAGGACAGUCCCCGUGCAAGACAGGUCCUCUUCCCCCAUUCAGCAUCUCUGCAAUGAAGUUUAACUUCCUAAGCAUCAUGAACUUCUUAAGCAUCUUGAGAGCUGGAGGCAGAGAUCUCCACAGUCCUAGGACUGGCAGUUCAAGACGCAAGGGCUCUGGGUCCUCGAAUUGCCAUGUGGAGGAAUGCUGACUGCCUACCAGAAACAUUCACAUUGAAUUUUUAGAGGGUGUGACGCUGACAUAGAAGAAAGUACACUGGCUUUGGUGGAAGGCAGACCUGUCACAACUCCUGUCACUGGCUCUUGUAACUCCUUUUAAUUUGGACAAGAUACUUUGUCUGAACCCCAGUUUUCUCAUCUAGAAAAUGGGAAUCAUAGUGUUCGGGAUUGUUAAAAGGACUAAGGAUUAUUUCUGUGAUGCAGUUGUUCAACCACGCUCUCAACAAUUUUAUGCACUGGACACCAACUGUGCACCUAGCACUCCUUCUAGGCUCUUGAGAUCCAUAAGAGAGAAACAAAGAUCCGCAUUCUCAUGGAGCUUGCAAUUUCAGAAAGAGGAGCUAAAUGGUAAACGAUAAAGAAAAUAAAUAAGUAAAUUAUGCCACAGGGUUGAAGCCCUAAAUAAAACUGAAAAAAUAAAAAGUGAGGGCAGGGUAAAUGGGAUCAGCAUAGCAGAGGUGGGAAGUGGGUCGAGGUAGGCUUCAUUGAGAAAGUGAAAUUUGAGCUGACUUGAUGGAGGGGAGGGAGUGAGCCAGAGGAAGAACAGUCCAUGCAGGAAACAGCUGGAGCAAAGGCCUUAAGAUGGGGGAAUGCAGAGGGGGAGAGGGGGUGAGGUUUUGGCUUCUCACUGAGUGAAAUGGAGAAUAGUUGCAGAGAUUUGAACAGAGGAGUGACAUGAGCAUCAUGAUUCCUUACCUAUCAUUAGAAAUUAUGUACUUCAGUUAUACAUUCUGAGAUAUUACCUUAAGUCCAAACAAUUGUUAACGGAUGAGUCCUUUUCAAGAGGAAUUGAUUCUGCUUGGGUUUACAGUGAUCAUUCUUUACAACAGAACUUUACAAGAGGACUAAAUUUG